rnacentral:rRNA from 1 species
AUUGAACGCUGGCGGCAGGCCUAACACAUGCACGUCGAGCGAGCGGCGGACGGGUGAGUAAUGUCUGGGAAACUGCCUGAUGGAGGGGGAUAACUACUGGAAACGGUAGCUAAUACCGCACACCAUCAGAUGUGCCCAGAUGGGAUUAUCUAGUCGGUGUGGUAACGGCUCACCUAGGCGACGAUCCCUAGCUGGUCUGAGAGGAUGACCAGCCACACGGGAACUGGGCCAGGGGCCCGACUCGUACGGGAGGCAGCAGUUGGGAAUAUUGAACAAUGGCCGCAAGCCUGAUGUCGACAUGCCGCUGGUGGGAAUAAGUCCUUCGGGUUGUAAAGUCCUUUCAGCGAGGAGGCGUUACCCGCAGAAGAAGGGACGGCUAACUCCGUGCCAGCAGCCGCGGUAAUAC